CGUCCCUCAAACAGCUCCACACAUCCAGCGCGCGGCGCGGGGAGAGAGAGGGCCGCGCUCGUCUAAUGGCUUUCACAGCGGACACCGACUGCCAAAAAACAGAACCAUCCUGACUCUGGCUGCAAAAAAGCCUAGGUUAUGUCUUCCAUGUUCAAGGAUUUGCUGACUUUCUGCUCUGGGGAGAACACUGCUGAGCCAUUCAGUCGUUAUUAAGACAUGUUCACGGGAGCACAGGUGCAAACCCAGGGUUGUGUGGAUUCUUUGGCCCACAAAAGCGCGGUAGCUUCUCUGUGGAAACUCCCCCUUCCAACCUCUGCGCAGAGAGUGACCUCUCAUAUGUGUAGAACCACCAUGGGAGUCUCAGGAGCGAGAACAGCGGACACUCAGGGCUGGGCGCGGGUGGUUGGUGCACCUUAUCAGAAGUUCUGAUUCUGACGGCGCUGACAGUGACACGGGUAAUUCAUCAUGUCAUCGACAGCGCUGAUGGAUGGAGCGGCACCUUGGCUGAGCUGGAGAGGCGGGAGAGGUGUUCUCAGCCCCGCCCAUCCUCUGUCUUCACCGUCCGUCUGAAGUCGUUCUCUCUGCCACGGAGCACUGAGGCCUCGGCUCUCUGACAGGAAAUCUAUAAGAACGUACCUGAUCUGCGGUCUCGACAAGUCACCACGCUGCCAUCCUGUAACCUUGCAAUCAUGGGGGAGCAAGAGCAAAGCAGUUGGUGGGGUCGGGGGGGCAUCCAUGAAGUGCACCACAGUGGCAAUGACUAAUUCAGUUCUGGAUGAUUGAAAGAGAGUAAGGGGAAGUUGACUUGUCACGCAAAGGCAGUAACAUGCUGAAUGUGUACUGUGAAGAAAAUAUGAGUAUUCUUUCAUGUGUAAGAGAGAGAGAGCACGAGAGAGAGGGAGAGAGAGAUUUUAUCAGAGAGGAUUUAUACAGCCUGAAUGUUUACUUCAGUACAACAUUGUGGAAGGCGCCAUACGAGACAGAAUCUGAAUAAUCAAUGAAAUUCCUGUAGAAGGAAUUAAUCAGAAACUGAGUUUCAGUCUCAUAUCAAGGGUCGACUGAGUGAAGGCUUGUUAUAACACAUUUAACAUUUAAAUAGCAGGUACUAGCUAAUGAUGAGCUAAAAACAAUGAGAAAGAAGAAGUGUUUGCAUUGUUGAGGGUUUUAGUAUAUUUUUAAAAAUAGCAUUCAUAUUUUGAAUGUUAGUGGUAUUAACAGUGGAUAAACUGGUACCUACUAUUGAGCUAAUAAUAAGCUCCCUUCAACUU